ensembl:lncRNA
UGGAGGAGGAGAAGAGAACGGCAUGGAGAGAUGAACGAGGUUAGCUGAACCAAAGUGAGAGACCCGGCUAGUUUUACUGAGGUUAACCAGCACAAAAGAGUGUGUGACUAGAAAGCUGACCGUGUGAGAGCUUCACAACAGAGUGUGGGUGAAGUGACUUUUUGUUUCAACGGUCGCACCACCGUGGAAAACUGUUUCCAGCUACGACCGCCGAGGCUAAAGGCUAGCCCGGACUGCUUGGCUUCGCCAAGGAGGCAGCCGCUAUGGACUGUCGGAGAGCUGGACAGUGACUCGCUAACGUGCUGUAGCAGAGACAGCAUCGGGUCCGCAAGGAGUGGAUUUAUUGUGGGACUGGUGAACGGCGAUCUACCGGGCAACGGAACUGUAAGUCAGACUUUUGUGCUCUUACUGGGGAGAAGAGGAUUUUCUCCAUCGUCCGGCGUGAGCAGCAAACAGGCCUGCAACAAGUGUGAAUGUCAGAUGAUGUCACUAAAAAGGUGCAGACAGCACAAACAUGGUCCAGAGUGUCCAGUUCAGGGAAUCCAGUUAGCUGAGGUGAAGCCUUGCAGACAGCUAGCAGCUACAGCCACGAAGAGGCCACGCCCCUUAUAAUGCAAACUGUAAGCCUUAAAGUAAUUUAAACAGUGCAUCGGCGAGGAGGGCUGGAGAUGGGAGGGUGUGAGAGGAGGAAGAGGAGGAUGAGGGGGAGGGAGGAGGAGGACGGUCCUGCUGUCAAACACAGAUGAAAAUCCAGCGGCAGGUUUCAGGAGGACACCGCCG